UUCGGUUAAGUUAUGAAGGGCGCACGGUGGAUGCCUUGGCACUAGGAGCCGAUGAAGGACGGGACUAACACCGAUAUGCUUCGGGGAGCUGUAAGUGAGCUUUGAUCCGGAGAUUUCCGAAUGGGGGAAC
rnacentral:rRNA from 1 species